rnacentral:rRNA from 1 species
UACAGAGGUCCCGAGCGUUGUUCGGAUUCACUGGGCGGAAAGGGUGCGUAGGUGGUUAGGUAAGUCCGAUGUGAAAUCUCCAGGCUCAACCUGGAAAUGGCAUUGGAUACUAUUUAGCUUGAGGAGUGGAGGGGGGACUGGAAUUCUCGGUGUAGCAGUGAAAUGCGUAGAUAUCGAGAGGAACACCGGUGGCGAAGGCGGUGAGCUGGGCAGUUGCUGACACUGAGGCGCGACAGCGUGGGGAGCAAACAGG